rnacentral:tRNA from 1 species
UAUAAGAUGGUGUAUAAGCAUAUAAAAUUUUGAUUUUUAUGGUAAGUUGUUCUUUCUUAUAG